AACGAACGUUGGCGGGAUGUCUUAAACAUGCAAGUCGAGCGGCAGCACUUCGGGUGGCGAGCGGCGAACUGGUGAGUAACGCGUGGGUAUCUACCUCAUGGAUUGGGAUAGCCUCUGGAAACAGGGAUUAAUACCAAAUAUGAGCAUGCUUAAAAGCGGCGUUUGCCGCACCAUGAGAUGAGCCUGCGUCCCAUUAGCUUGUUGGUAGGGUAAUAGCCUACCAAGGCGACGAUGGGUAGCCGGCCUGAGAGGGUGAUCGGCCACAUCGGGACUGAGAUACGGCCCGGACUCCUACGGGAGGCAGCAGUUAAGAAUAUUCCACAAUGGGCGAAAGCCUGAUGGAGCAAUCCCGCGUGAAGGAUGAAGGCCUUCGGGUUGUUAAACUUCUUUCGACAGGGAAGAAUAAGUGAGUAGGAAA
rnacentral:rRNA from 1 species